rnacentral:rRNA from 1 species
GAAAGUAAAAAAGGGCGCAUGGCGGAUGCCUUGGCUCUCGGAGGCGAUGAAGGACGUGAUAAGCUGCGAUAAGCUUUGGGGAGGUGCAAAUGACCUUUGAUCCAGAGAUUUCCGAAUGGGACAACCCAAUAUCUUGAAGAGGUAUUAUCCAACGUUGUUGGAGGCUAACGCAGGGAACUGAAACAUCUUAGUACCUGCAGGAAAAGAAAAUAAACAAUGAUUCCCCCAGUAGUGGCGAGCGAACGGGGAACAGCCCAAACCAUCCAUGUUACGGCAUGGGUGGGGUUGUAGGACUACGCCGUUGCAUGAAGACAUCAGAGAAGAACUUUCUGGAAAGAAAGACCAUAGAGCAUGACAGUUGCGUAUUCGAAUGUUGUCGAAGCAUAGUAGUAUCCUGAGUAGCGCGGAGCACGAGGAAUUCUGCGUGAAUCUGCCGGGACCAUCCGGUAAGGCUAAAUACUCCCGAGAGACCGAUAGCGAACCAGUACCGUGAGGGAAAGGUGAAAAGCACUUCGAACAGAAGAGUGAAAUAGUUCCUGAAACCGUGCGCCUACAAGCGGUCGGAGCUCGUUAAUGAGUGACGGCGUGCCUUUUGCAUAAUGAACCUACGAGUUGCCUUUGCCGGCAAGGUUAAGUGUGACGACACACGUAUCCGAAGCGAAAGCGAGUCUGAAGAGGGCGUAUAGUCGGCAGUGGCAGACGCGAAACCAAGUGAUCUACCCUUGGCCAGGUUGAAGGCUGGGUAACACCAGCUGGAGGACCGCACCAAUAAGCGUUGAAAAGCUUCUGGAUGAGCUGAGGGUAGGGGUGAAAGGCUAAUCAAACUUGGAGAUAGCUCGUACUCCCCGAAAUGCAUUUAGGUGCAGCCUUGCGGGUUACUGAUGUGAGGUAGAGCGACUGAUAAGAUGCGAGGGCUUCACCGCCUAUCAAGUCUUGACAAACUCCGAAUGCGCAUCAGUUCUACCGCAGGAGUGAGGGCAUGGGUGCUAAGGUCCGUGCCCGAGAGGAGAAGAAUCCGGACCACCUGCUAAGGUCCCGAAAUGACAGCUAAGUUAAACUAACGAAGUCUGACUGCUAAGACAGCUAGGAUGUUGGCUUGGAAGCAGCCAUUCAUUUAAAGAGUGCGUAACAGCUCACUAGUCGAGGAGUCGGGCGUGGAUAAUAAUCGGGUAUCAAGUUGUCUACCGAAGCAGUGGGAUCAUUAAUAUGAUCGGUAGGGGAGCAUUCCAGUCGGCGUCGAAGGCGUACCGUGAGGUAUUCUGGAGCGUCUGGAAAAGCAAAUGUAGGUAUAAGUAACGAUAAAGGGGGCGGGAAACCCCCUCGCCGAAAGACUAAGGUUUCCUGAUCAACGCUAAUCGGAUCAGGGUCAGUCGGGUCCUAAGGCUCAGCCGAACGGCGAUGCCGAUGGCAGAAACGGUUAAUAUUCCGUUACUACCUUCAGGAGUGACGUGGAGACGCAGUAGUGACAGUGCCGCCAUCUGACGGAAUAGAUGGUUGAAGGGUGUAGGAGUCGAUCAUGGCAGGCAAAUCCACCAUGAGAUCCGAACCUGACAGUAUGCCGCGUCCUUCGGGACAAGGCAAUAGUGCGCGUAAGCAUGCUGCCGAGAAAAUCCGCUAAACUUAAUCCUGCAGGUACCCGUACCGCAAACGGACACACGUAGUCGGGAUGAAUAUUCUAAGGCGCUUGAGUGAUUCACGGUUAAGGAACUAGGCAAACUGACCCUGUAACUUCGGGAUAAAGGGUCCCUACCCUUUUAUGGGAGGGCGCAGAGAAUCGGUCCAGGCAACUGUUUAACAAAAACACAGGGCUGUGCCAAAUCGAAAGAUCCAGUAUACAGCCUGACACCUGCCCGGUGCUGGAAGGUUAAGAGGAGAUGUCAUCGAUAAGAGAAGCGUUGAAUUGAAGCCCCAGUAAACGGCGGCCGUAACUAUAACGGUCCUAAGGUAGCGAAAUUCCUUGUCGGGUAAGUUCCGACCUGCACGAAUGGUGUAAUGAUCUGGACGCUGUCUCAACCGUGAGCUCAGUGAAAUUGUAGUAUCGGUGAAGAUGCCGAUUACCCGCGAUGGGACGAAAAGACCCCGUGAACCUUUACUAUAGCUUAUCAUUGAAUCUGGGCACGUGAUGUGUAGGAUAGGUCGGAGGCUUUGAAGCAGGUACGCCAGUAUUUGUGGAGCCGCUGUUGAAAUACGACCCUUUAUUUGUUUGGAUUCUAACCCGUGGAUACGGGGACAUUGAUUGGUGGGUAGUUUGACUGGGGUGGUCGCCUCCAAAAGCGUAACGGAGGCUUCUAAAGGUGCCCUCCGGCCGAUUGGUAACCGGCCUUAGAGUGUAAUGGCAUAAGGGCGCUUGACUGGGAGACUGACAAGUCGAUCAGGUAGGAAACUAGAGCAUAGUGAUCCGGUGUUUCCGUAUGGAAGGGACAUCGCUCAAAGGAUAAAAGGUACUCCGGGGAUAACAGGCUGAUCCCUCCCAAGAGCUCAUAUCGACG